UUAAAAUCGCGCACAAAGAGACGAGGACAAACGAGGAAGGAAGGAAGGAACGCGCGCCUGUCUGUGUCUCUGUGUUCCUUCCUCGUUUGUCCUCGUCUCUUUGUGCGCGAUUUUAACC
rnacentral:pre_miRNA from 1 species